ACUACGGGAGGCAGCAGUGAGGAAUAUUGGUCAAUGGUCGGGAGACUGAACCAGCCAAGCCGCGUGAGGGAUGAAGGUACAGAGUAUCGUAAACCUCUUUUGUCAGGGAACAAAGGCGGGGACGUGUCCCCGGAUGAGUGUACCUGAAGAAAAAGCAUCGGCUAACUCCGUGCCAGCAGCCGCGGUAAUAGGGAGGAUGCGAGCGUUAUCCGGAUUUAUUGGGUUUAAAGGGUGCGCAGGCGGUCUUUUAAGUGAGCGGUGAAACCCCGGGGUCCACCCCCGGCCCGCCGUUGAAACUGGCAGUCUCGAGUUGGAGAGAAGUAUGCGGAAUGCGCGGUGUAGCGGUGAAAUGCAU
rnacentral:rRNA from 1 species